GCCAGACUCCUACGGGAGGCAGCAGUGGGGGAUAUUGCACAAUGGGGGCAACCCUGAUGCAGCGACGCCGCGUGAGCGAUGGAGUACUUCGGUAUGUAAAGCUCUGUCAGCAGGGAAGAGAAUGACGGUACCUGACCAAGAAGCCACGGCUAACUACGUGCCAGCAGCCGCGGUAAUACGUAGGUGGCAAGCGUUGUCCGGAUUUACUGGGUGUAAAGGGCGUGCAGCCGGGCUGACAAGUCAGAUGUGAAAUCCCGCGGCUCAACCGCGGAACUGCAUUUGAAACUGUCAGUCUUGAGUACCGGAGAGGUCAUCGGAAUUCCUUGUGUAGCGGUGAAAUGCGUAGAUAUAAGGAAGAACACCAGUGGCGAAGGCGGAUGACUGGACGGCAACUGGCGGUGAGGCGCGAAAGCGUGGGGAGCAAACAGGAUUAGAUACCCCUGUAU
rnacentral:rRNA from 1 species